rnacentral:rRNA from 1 species
GAAGGAGGGUGCAAACGCUGCUCGGAAUCAUUGGGCGUAAAGCGCGCGUAGGCGGCCUAGCAAGUUGGGUGUGAAAGCCCAGGGCUCAACCCUGGAAGUGCAUCCAAAACUGCAUGGCUUGAGUUCCGGAGGGGCCCAGAGAAUUCUCGGUGUAGAGGUGAAAUUCGUAGAUAUCGGGAGGAAUACCAGUGGCGAAGGCGCUGGGCUGGACGGAAACUGACGCUGAGGUGCGAAAGCGUGGGGAGCAAGCAGG